GAUCAUGGCUCAGGAUGAACGCUAGCGGCAGGCCUAACACAUGCAAGUCGAGGGGCAGCGGGGAUUGAGCUUGCUCAAUUUGCCGGCGACCGGCGCACGGGUGCGUAACGCGUAUGUAACCUACCCUGAACUGGGGAAUAACACUGAGAAAUCGGUACUAAUACCCCAUAAUACACUGGAAGGCAUCUUUUGGUGUUUAAAGCUCCGGCGGUUCAAGAUGGACAUGCGUUGUAUUAGCUAGUUGG
rnacentral:rRNA from 1 species